rnacentral:rRNA from 1 species
UACGGAGGGUGCAAGCGUUAAUCGGAAUUACUGGGUUUAAAGGGUGCGUAGGCGGCUUUGUAAGUCAGUGGUGAAAUACGGUAGCUUAACUAUCGAGGUGCCAUUGAUACUGCAGAGCUUGAGUACAGAUGAGGUAGGCGGAAUUGACGGUGUAGCGGUGAAAUGCUUAGAUAUCGUCAAGAACACCUAUAGCGAAAGCAGCUUACUAGGCUGUAACUGACGCUGAGGCACGAAAGUGUGGGGAUCAAACAGG